AUCACAGGAGAGUUACGAAUGCGAUGGCGUACUGUUGUGUACCAGGUUGUACAUCAUAUCAACGGAAAGAAAGUGAUAAAAAUAUAUGUCCUUUCCUAUCCUAUCCUAUCAAAAAAAUAUGUUUUUUCAUCGCUUUCCGAGUGACCCAAAAGCCUGUCGUGAGUGGAUUGUUAAAGUAAAACGGGAUAUUGGACCUCAUUUUCAGAUUACAGACAACACGAGAGUGUGCUCCAAACAUUUCACUCAGGACUGCAUUGUUCGUUCGCUCACGGGGUUGCAUAGACUGAAACGGGGAAGCGUGCCGACUUUGUUUACAUGGUGCUGUGAACUCAAGCCUCGGAGGUGUCUGUGAUACUGAAACACUCGAGGAAGAAGAAGACCACGAUUCGUUUCCUGACCAGAACACAAGAGAAGAAUCUAACAAUUGUUUUGGGGAAUUGCAAGACCAUGAUUACCUGGAAACGUCUCCUACCAUGGAAGAGCAGCUGACUGCAGCACAGAAGGAAGUUGCUCUUCUGACAGAGGAAAAUGAAAAUUUAAGAAGUCAGCAGUUUUGUCUACAGCGAUUCCAAUGUGAGCCCAAGAUGAUCGUGUUUUACACAGGAUUUAAUGAUUAUGAGACCCUCAAAGCACUCUACCUGUCUCUUCAACCUACAGCACAGUCUCUGGUGAGAUGGAGUCAAAUGAAAAGACUUAAUAAAACAGAACAGACUGUAACAGCUGGCUUUCAUGCUCACAACAUUUGUCUCUUUGACCAGUUUUUCUCGUUUCUCUGCCGUGUGAGGCAGGGGCUUCUUUCCGCAGAUUUAGCUGUAAGGUUUAAUCUGUCAAAGGCCACAGUCAGUCGGAUAUGUAUAACUUGGGCUAACUAUCUUUAUUUUAUGCUUGGCACACUACCAGUAUGGCCAAGUAGAGAGGCUGUAGAUGAGCUAAUGCUAAUUUCCCAAAACACGUGUUGUGCUAGAUUGUACAGAGAUCCAUAUUCAAACAGCAAGCUCAAAUGUUUUUAACACGGUGACAUACUCUCAUUACAAAGGCACCACAACUUUGAAAUCCCUGAUUGGCAUCACCCCCUUUGGGUCAGUUAGCUUUGUAAGCAACCUAUACACCGGCUCCAUCUCUGACAAGGAAAUCACCAAAGAGUCAGGCAUUCUAAAACUCCUUGAGCCAGGUGAUGAAGUAAUGGCGGAUAAGGGCUCUCUUAUCAGAGACCUCCCUGCUGACAGAGAUUUCAGUCUUGUAACCCCAACUUUCACAGGGUCAAGCGGACAAUUCAGUAAAGAUGAAAUUGCACACACCCAAGAGAUUGCCCGCUUGAGGAUACAUGUAGAGAGGGCUAUCAGACGCAUCAAAGAAUAUCACAUUUUUGAUGGUGUCCUACCCCUUUAACUAUGUGGUUCAGUCAACCAGAUGUGGACUGUUUGUGCUCUACUGACACAUUUCCAAGGACCUCUAUUUUAAAGGAAAGUUUCACCCCAAAAAAAAAUUUGCUGAAAAUGUACUCACCCUCAGGCAAUCCAAGAUGUAGAUUAGCUUAUUUCUUAUGCCAAAACGGGCUGUUAAAGGAUUAGUUCACUUUCAAAUAAAAUGUUCCUGAUAAUUUA